rnacentral:lncRNA from 1 species
CAGUGAUCGAGUUUCACCUUUGUAAUGAAAUUCAUUGCAAAAGGAGAAAACAAAUGGAAAAUUAUCAAGUUCAGUGAUUUAAUUUGUACUGGACAAACUUUAGGCCCAAGGAAGGUAACUGAAUUGGCCACAUAGCUGAUAGUAUUCUUCCUGUCAUGAUGAACCAUUUGAACAUAGUUGUGGUUCUUUAAACUAUAAUCUUAAAUGUACAAUUUUUAAAUUUCAUCCACACUUGCUCAUAAAUAUGGUGUGUAUCUUUUAUGAUGAUUCUUUGGAAGUAUAUGAUAAGUAAACUAAUGGAAAUUCAAGAUACUCAUACAGUUUUAACAAUUGUAAAAUUUCUUGUUAAUCAGUCUGGUUAUAUGAGAUUUGUGUUGAUUCUGAACAUUCAUUUUGUAGUAAUAGGCUUAAAACACAAUGGUUCAGGUGUUCAUUAGUUUAUGCAUUUGCAUGUAAGUAACAGUAGUAAAUUUUUAAAAAUGAAAAUACUUUAUAAAUCAUACUAUAAGUGUCAGUAGUUUAGGCAUAGAUAGGUACUAAGCUUAAAUAUUACAUAGAUAACAAGUUUAAAUAUUACAAUAAAAGAAAAAGUGGGUUUUCAAAUGGAUGCUUGCUACUUGGGAUUUCUUUUAUGGGUCAUUUUGUGUGAAAUGAGACAAUCCAUGUGCAAUGCAGCAAAUUUUUUUUUGUUGUUGUUGUUUUUGAGACGGAGUCUCGCUCUGUCACCCAGGCUGGAGUGCAGUGGCGGGAUCUCGGCUCACUGCAAGCUCCGCCUCCCGGGUUCACGCCAUUCUCCUGCCUCAGCCUCCCAAGUAGCUGGGACUACAGGCGCCCGCCACUACGCCCGGCUAAUUUUUUGUAUUUUUAGUAGAGACGGGGUUUCACCGUUUUAGCCGGGAUGGUCUCGAUCUCCUGACCUCGUGAUCCGCCCGCCUCGGCCUCCCAAAGUGCUGGGAUUACAGGCGUGAGCCACCACGCCCGGCCGCAAAUUUUAAAGAUACAGAUUAACAUAAAGGAUAUAAAAUAAUACUGCCACUGAGAGGUAGCAUCACUGUUAACAUACUGACAUACAUUGUUGGUAUUGAGCUGGAUGGGGUGUUGAUUAUCCUCUCCCAAUACCAAUACCCCUAACACAUAACAUUGUGGUACGAGUUGUUAUUGAUGAAAGUAUACUUUAUAAGUGAAUAAAAGUGGCAUACUUUUUUUCUGUGGACAGCAUUGUCUAAUUUUUAAACCAAAUUAAGACCAUAUUUACUGUUUCCUCUGUUUUGGUGAUGAAUAUAUUUUACCAUUUUUUUCUUAUGGAUUUUUAAAGUGAAAUGGUAAAUACCUGAUUAGUGUUUUAAUGAUUUAAUUUGCUGUCUUUUUAAGACUGUUUUUCCUCCCCUACUUUACUGCUCAGCACCUUAAGAAUUCCUGAGCUCAUUCUGGUUUCCUUAUGGGCUGUCAUUAGAUGCGUCUUCUUCUAUUGUUUUCAUAUCUUUAUUUGAGCAUUUAUAUUUUAUUCAGUGAUUUCUGCAUAUUGUGAAAUUGUAAAAACAUCAUAUUUAUCAUAGGAUCUUUGAAAUCUCCAGUGUUUCUCUGUAUACUGUGUUUUUCUAUUUCCAUUAUAAUCACAUAAGGAACAAACUUCCAGUUUAACUCCCAAAUAAAAGCCUCAUUACUGUAUAAAAAACUUUGGAGGCUUAAUUUGCUCUUGUGCAUUCAAGCAAUAUUUCAGAUAAAUAUGACAAAUCUAUUGUUUUUUAAACUGAGGUUAUAUCAGGCUUAAGAUUUUUUUUUUUAAUAGAGCACCGAUGGUUGAUUGUUGAUUGGUUUUGGUUAGGUUUCCUAAAGGCUGUUAGGAUUGGUUUUAAAAUUAGUACU